AGUGAACGCUGGCGGUAGGCCUAACACAUGCAAGUCGAACGGCAGCACAGUAAGAGCUUGCUCUUACGGGUGGCGAGUGGCGGACGGGUGAGGAAUACAUCGGAAUCUACUUUUUCGUGGGGGAUAACGGAGGGAAACUUACGCUAAUACCGCAUACGACCUACGGGUGAAAGCAGGGGAGCUUCGGACCUUGCGCGAUUGAAUGAGCCGAUGUCGGAUUAGCUAGUUGGCGGGGUAACGGCCCACCAAGGCGACGAUCCGUAGCUGGUCUGAGAGGAUGAUCGGCCACACUGGAACUGAGACACGGUCCAGACUCCUACGGGAGGCAGCAGUGGGGAAUCUUGGACAAUGGGCGCAAGCCUGAUCCAGCCAUACCGCGUGGGUGAAGAAGGCCUUCGGGUUGUAAAGCCCUUUUGUUGGGAAAGAAAAGCAGCAGGUUAAUCCCCCGCUGUUCUGACGGUACCCAAAGAAUAAGCCCCGGCUAACUUCGUG
rnacentral:rRNA from 1 species